rnacentral:piRNA from 1 species
GGCCUGAUGACUUGAAACACCCUGUAAGGA